AGAGUUUGAUCCUGGCUCAGAAUCAACGCUGGCGGCGUGCCUAACACAUGCAAGUCGAACGAGAAAGUGGAGCAAUCCAUGAGUAAAGUGGCGCACGGGUGAGUAACACGUGACUAACCUACCCUGGAGUGGGGGAUAGCUGAGGGAAACCUUAGCUAAUACCGCAUAAUACCUACGGGUCAAAGGAGCAAUUCGCUUCAGGAGGGGGUCGCGGCCGAUUAGUUAGUUGGCGGGGUAAUGGCCCACCAAGACAGUGAUCGGUAUCCGGCCUGAGAGGGCGCACGGACACACUGGAACUGAAACACGGUCCAGACUCCUACGGGAGGCAGCAGUGGGGAAUUUUGCGCAAUGGGGGAAACCCUGACGCAGCAACGCCGCGUGGAGGAUGAAGUCCUUCGGGACGUAAACUCCUUUCGAUCGGGACGAUUAUGACGGUACCGGAAGAAGAAGCCCCGGCUAACUUCGUGCCAGCAGCCGCGGUAAUACGAGGGGGGCGAGCGUUGUUCGGAAUUAUUGGGCGUAAAGGGUGCGUAGGCGGUUUUGUAAGUCUUAUGUGAAAUCUAUGGGCUCAACUCAUAGACUGCAUGAGAAACUGCAGGGCUUGAGUAUGGGAGAGGUGAGUGGAAUUCCUGGUGUAGCGGUGAAAUGCGUAGAUAUCAGGAGGAACACCUGUGGCGAAAGCGGCUCACUGGACCAUAACUGACGCUGAUGCACGAAAGCUAGGGGAGCAAACAGGAUUAGAUACCCUAGUAGUCC
rnacentral:rRNA from 1 species